AGUGCUUCUCGAGCCUUUCUACCAGAGAACAUGAAGGUCUUAAUGAGAGAGGGCAGAGAACACACAUAUCAUCUCUGGGUCCAACAGCAAGCCCAAUUUCUUAGAAGCAUAAUUAUUUUUAAAAUUCAUGUGAACUUUGCAAUGUUCUCUGGGAGAGCUAAUUUUUUUAAAAGGUGCCUUUUCACCUACAUUAUGUGUAAAUCCAACACUCGUGGGGUAUACAUCACACUUCUCCCAUCAAAGAUUCAAGGAGCUGUGUACUCCAAUUUGAGAGGCACAAAACUGGCUGCUCUCUGCCGACCACAUCUUGUACUGUGAAGUGACAGACUGCAGAAAUGACAGCACGGUAGCCACCACAAAUCAUUUCGUGCCAAACUUUCCCUACUACAUCAACCUCAGGUGGAGAUCACUAUAGACAUUUUGGGGAGAUUUUUAAAAAUAAAGACAACAUUGAAAGGGAAUUUUCCCUCUGACUCAGCUUAAAACAGUUUAAUCCCAUGCCAAGACCCUAACUUUUACCAGGACUAUCAGCUGCUGAGAAGAAGCAGAGAUAUUCUUACUCUUUGUGGAUUUUAUAGUGCUCGUGUAACUGCAGUUUGGUGAUGUUAUUCCAGGCCAGUGUUUUGCUUUCUUCGGUCAGGUCUUCAAAAGACUCUUCACCUGGAGAGACGACAUUAAAUUUUUGCUAAGUCAACUAAGUUACCAACAGACAACAGCAUCAGAUUAACAAUAUUUUCUAUUAAAAUCAAACAACUAAGAAAUGAAACACCCUGUCACAAUAUAACUGCUUUGAAAUGUACCUGUUAGAUGGUUCCACGUUAGUCAAGGAAAAAAUUGUAUAGAGAAAGAUAAAAAGUAUCUUUGAAUAAUACUAGAAUCUUUUUAUACUUUAACAAUGUUUGCAAAGUUUUCACUCGGCCUCUAACUUAUGAAUUUGGGGAAAUACAAGACUGAGUCAUCAUUUCCUUGUCAACAUUGUUUCAAAAACCUGACAGUUGCCUAAGAAUGCAACAAUUUUGUUCUGGUGUGGGGUGGGGAAAGCAGAGAUGAAAUCAAUUACCGCAAGGGCUUCUGGCAGGAGUAAUCCUUUUACUUCUGCUUUAAG
rnacentral:lncRNA from 1 species